UACGUAGGGGGCAAGCGUUGUCCGGAUUCAUUGGGCGUAAAGAGCUCGUAGGCGGUUCAGUAAGUCGGGUGUGAAAUCUCCGUGCUCAACACGGAGCGGCCACCUGAUACUGCUGUGACUCGAGUCCGGUAGGGGAGUGUGGAAUUCCCGGUGUAGCGGUGAAAUGCGCAGAUAUCAGGAAGAACACCCGUGGCUAAGGCGGUUCUCUAGUACGGUACUGACGCUGAGACGCGAAAGCGUGGGGAGCGAACAGG
rnacentral:rRNA from 1 species